UGUUCCUGCUCGAGGAGGGGAACGAUAGCAUAAAAUUGGAACUAUACAGAGAAGAUUAGCAUGGCCCCUGCGCAAGGAUGACACGCACAAAUCUAGAAAUAAUACCUUUUAAC
rnacentral:snRNA from 1 species